CGUGUAGGCGGCCACCGCAAGUCGACUGUGAAACCUCCGGGCUUAACUCGGAAAGGUCAGCCGAUACUGCGGGGCUAGAGUGCAGAAGGGGCAACUGGAAUUCUCGGUGUAGCGGUGAAAUGCGUAGAUAUCGAGAGGAACACCUGCGGCGAAGGCGGGUUGCUGGGCUGACACUGACGCUGAAACGCGAAAGCUAGGGGAGCGAACG
rnacentral:rRNA from 1 species